rnacentral:rRNA from 1 species
AGCAGCCGCGGUAAUUCCAGCUCCAAUAGCGUAUAUUAAAGUUGUUGCAGUUAAAAAGCUCGUAGUUGAAUUUCGGGGUUUAUCCGUCGGUCGGGCUUUCGGGUCUGUACUGGCGUGAUGGAUUCCUACCUUCUGAAUAACCGGCAUGUCAUUAAUUUGGUGCGCCGGGGAAGCAGGACUGUUACCUUGAAAAAAUUAGAGUGCUUAAAGCAGGCUUAUGCCUGAAUACAUUAGCAUGGAAUAAUGAAAUAGGACGGCAUGGUUCUAUUUUGUUGGUUUCUAGGAUCACCGUAAUGAUUAAUAGGGAUAGUUGGGGGCAUUAGUAUUCAAUUGUCAGAGGUGAAAUUCUUGGAUUUAUUGAAGACUAACUUCUGCGAAAGCAUUUGCCAAGGAUGUUUUCAUUAAUCAAGAACGAAAGUUAGGGGAUCGAAGACGAUCAGAUACCGUCGU